CACGCACGCUGGCGGCGUGCUUAACACAUGCAAGUCGAACGGAAAGGCCCUGCUUGCCGGGUACUCGAGUGGCGAACGGGUGAGUAACACGUGGGGGAUCUGCUCUUAACUUCGGGAUAAGCCUGGGAAACUGGGUCUAAUACCGGUUAGGAGCCAUUUUGAGUUUGAUGGUUGGAAAGAUUUUUCGGUGUAGGAUGAGCUCUCGGCCUAUCAGCUUGUUGGUGGGGUAAUGGCCUACCAAGGCGGCGACGGGUAGCCGGCCUGAGAGGGUGGACGGCCACCUUGGGGCUGAGAGGCGGCCCAAGCGCCUAAGGGAGGCAGAGGUGGGGAAUAUUGCACUAAGGGCGCAAGGCUGAUGCAGCGGCGCCGCGUGGGGGAUGACGGCCUUAGGGUUGUAAAAUCCUUGCGCUAGGGACGAAGCUUGUUGUGACGGUACCUAGAUAAGAAGCACCGGCUAACUACGUG
rnacentral:rRNA from 1 species